UCUGCUGGUGUAGUGGUUUGAGUACUGGACUACAACUCUGGAGAACAGAGUUCAAAUCUCUGGCCAUGGAA